rnacentral:ncRNA from 1 species
GUCACAGGUGGCGCGGUGCCAUGAGCGCAGCGCCGAAAUGCGCAAUACCUAAACGAAGAACGGUAGAUAAG